rnacentral:RNase_P_RNA from 1 species
CGCUUUAUCGCAGACGGUCGCUGGUCGCGCGCAGGCGCGGCGAGAGGAAAGUCCGGGCAUCACAGGGCAGGGUGAUCGGUAACACCGACCGGGGGCAACCCCAGGGAAAGUGCCACAGAGAUAUACCGCCGCGCUGCGGCGCGGUAAGGGUGAAAAGGUGAGGUAAGAGCUCACCGGGGCGGCGGUGACGUCGCUCGUCCAGGUAAACCCCACCCGAUGCAAGGUAAACAGAGGUUGAGCGUCUUUUAAGACGCUCCGAGGUGCCCCCCUCGCUGACCUCAGGUAACCGCUUGAGCCUCACGGCAACGUGAGGCCUAGAUGAAUGACCGUCACCGCGUGUCAUACACGCGGGACAAAACCCGGCUUACGCGAUAAAGCGAGAC